CCAAAUGGGGCUCGGAACCACGCGCGCAGCCGGGGACGUUUCUCCAAUGUCUCAUGCCAACUGCAAAUCCGCGUGGAUUCCAGCUUCCAAAACCCCUACCCUUGAGUACCUGCCUUUUGUUGCCUCGGCGGAUCCGUCCGCCAGAGGACCAAGUCAAACUACUGCUGUAAACGUGUAGUCUGAGCUGCAAAGCAAUUGUUA
rnacentral:misc_RNA from 1 species